rnacentral:sRNA from 1 species
GCGCAGGCGCGGAAUUUCCGACUUGCCAUGGUCGCCUUUGUCUGCCGGCCUGCUUCCUUGUACAUCCUCAGGAGCUGCAAAACCUCUUAGAGUUCUAACGGCUCUCCCUGAAUUUUGGGAUGCUGCUUUGUUCCCCAACCAUAACAUCCAAGUCCAGUGUCAUUUUUCUGCUCACAAGUUUAAAGUCAGCACUUAAAAGACAGCAACAGAUGAUUGAGAAAGAAAUGUAAAGAAGGUUCUCUUUGUGUGAGUAAGCAAGAACCUGGUAGGUAUGAAUGAGAUAAAGACUUAUUGCAGUUAUUCAGUGAGAAUUUGCAGCCUCUGAGUUG